rnacentral:misc_RNA from 1 species
GCUAUCUGUCCCUUGCUUCAG